AACAGGAUUAGAUACCCUGGUAGUCCAUGCCGUAAACGUUGGGCACUAGGUGUGGGGGGCAUUCCACGUUCUCCGCGCCGUAGCUAACGCAUUAAGUGCCCCGCCUGGGGAGUACGGUCGCAAGGCUAAAACUCAAAGGAAUUGACGGGGGCCCGCACAAGCGGCGGAGCAUGCGGAUUAAUUCGAUGCAACGCGAAGAACCUUACCAAGGCUUGACAUACACCGGACCGUCCUGGAAACAGGUCUUCUUCUUUGAAGCUGGUGUACAGGUGGUGCAUGGUUGUCGUCAGCUCGUGUCGUGAGAUGUUGGGUUAAGUCCCGCAACGAGCGCAACCCUCGUUCUAUGUUGCCAGCACGUGAUGGUGGGAACUCAUAGGAGACUGCCGGGGUCAACUCGGAGGAAGGUGGGGAUGACGUCAAAUCAUCAUGCCCUUUAUGUCUUGGGCUUCACGCAUGCUACAAUGGCUGGUACAGAGAGAGGCGAACCCGUGAGGGCAAGCGAAUCCCUUAAAGCCAGUCUCAGUUCGGAUCGUAGUCUGCAAUUCGACUACGUGAAGUCGGAGUCGCUAGUAAUCGCAGAUCAGCAACGCUGCGGUGAAUACGUUCCCGGGCCUUGUACACACCGCCCGUCAAGUCACGAAAGUCGGUAACACCCGAAGCCGGUGGCCUAACCCCUUGUGGGAGGGGGCCGUCUAAGGUGGGACUGGUGAUUGGGACUAAGUCGUAACAAGGUAACC
rnacentral:rRNA from 1 species